CUACGGGGUGCUGCAGUAAGGAAUAUUGCGCAAUGGAGGCAACUCUGACGCAGCCAUGCCGCGUGCAGGAAGAAGGCCUUAUGGGUCGUAAACUGCUUUUAUUUAGGAAUAACCCCCUGCUCGUGAGCAGGGCUGAAGGUACUAAAAGAAUAAGCACCGGCUAACUCCGUGCCAGCAGCCGCGGUAAUACGGAGGGUGCAAGCGUUAUCCGGAUUUAUUGGGUUUAAAGGGUGCGCAGGCGGGCUAUUAAGUCAGUGGUGAAGUCCCGGGGCUCAACUCCGGAACUGCCGUUGAUACUGAUAGUCUUGAGUUUGGUUGAAGUGGGCGGAAUGUAGCAUGUAGCGGUGAAAUGCAUAGAUAUGCUACAGAACACCAAUCGCGAAGGCAGCUCACUAAGCCAAAACUGACGCUCAUGCACGAAAGCGUGGGGAGCAAACAGGAUUAGAUACCCGGGUAGUC
rnacentral:rRNA from 1 species